rnacentral:rRNA from 1 species
CCUACGGGAGGCAGCAGUGAGGAAUAUUGGUCAAUGGACGAGAGUCUGAACCAGCCAAGUAGCGUGAAGGAUGACUGCCCUAUGGGUUGUAAACUUCUUUUAUAAAGGAAUAAAACGAGGCACGUGUGCCUUUUUGCAUGUACUUUAUGAAUAAGGAUCGGCUAACUCCGUGCCAGCAGCCGCGGUAAUACGGAGGAUCCGAGCGUUAUCCGGAUUUAUUGGGUUUAAAGGGAGCGUAGAUGGGUUGUUAAGUCAGUUGUGAAAGUUUGCGGCUCAACCGUAAAAUUGCAAUUGAUACUGGCAGUCGUGAGUACAGUUGAGGUAGGCGGAAUUCGUGGUGUAGCGGUGAAAUGCUUAGAGAUCACGAAGAACCCCGAUUGCGAAGGCAGCUUACUAAACUGUGACUGACAUUGAUGCUCGAAAGUGUGGGUAUCAAACAGGAUUAGAUACCCGUGUAGUC